GAGUCUAGCAUGUGCGCGAGUCAUUGGGACUCUACUAAACCUAAAGGCGCAAUGAAAGUAAAAACAGGUCGGCCUCGCGCCGACCGAGGGAGGAUGGGUCCGCCACGGUGCGGGCCCCGCACUCCCGGGGCGUCUCGUUCUCAUCGCGAGAAGAGGCGCACCCAGAGCGUACACGCUGGGACCCGAAAGAUGGUGAACUAUGCCUGGUCAGGACGAAGUCAGGGGAAACCCUGAUGGAGGUCCGUAGCGAUUCUGACGUGCAAAUCGAUCGUCGGAACUGGGUAUAGGGGCGAAAGACUAAUCGAACCUUCUAGUAGCUGGUUCCCUCCGAAGUUUCCCUCAGGAUAGCUGGCGCUCGCCUUUGCGAGUCUCAUUCGGUAAAGCGAAUGAUUAGAGGCAUUGGGGUCGAAACGGCCUCAACCUAUUCUCAAACUUUAAAUGGGUGAGAUCUCCGGCUUGCUUAAAGCUUGAAGCCGCGAGAUAUCGGAUCGAAGAGUGCCAAGUGGGCCACUUUUGGUAAGCAGAACUGGCGCUGUGGGAUGAACCAAACGCAGAGUUAAAGCGCCCAAAUCGACGCUUAUGGGAUACCAUGAAAGGCGUUGGUAACUUAAGACAGCAGGACGGUGGCCAUGGAAGUCGGA
rnacentral:rRNA from 2 species